CAUGAUUGGCAUACAUUGAUUCUAAUUCAUCCCACAGACCUUUGAGUUUAUUAAAAUAUGAAGCUACAUCUAGGGACCUUUGAGAGUUGUGAGAAAGCUCUCUUUUCAAUUCAAAAAUUUUGGUCAUGUUUGCAGUGCCAUAUCUGGCCUGAAGUUGGGACCAUAUACUCUGUGCAGUAUCAGAAUACUGCACACUUUCAGCAAUUUGAGGGGAGAGGGAGGCAGUUAACCAGGAAAUCACCAUAUUAUUGCUCCUGUCGCAUAACCUUUGUUGAGCCACAUU
rnacentral:lncRNA from 1 species